AUAUAGGUAAAAGUUGCAUAGCAAGAAUGGCGGAAGAGUUAUGGUGGGAAUCAACUGUUCAAAUUAUGAGUAUCAAUUUAGAAGGAUCAGGACUCCCGACUGUUGAUCCAAACUCAUUGUCCCUUUUGGGAUACGUGCAGUUUUGCAAGAUGAUCAUUAACAGAUUUCUCAAAGUGAAGUUGGAGCCUGUUAAUUGUGAUCACAACACAUGGCCUUCUAUAUCCGUGGGGGGAGUAACUUCCUUACCAUUGAAGAUUUGAGACAAACAAUAUACAAACAUAGAAAAACUUUGGGGCAUUCCUCCGUUCGUGAUGUGGUUGCUAUUGAGAGACAUAUAAAGGAUAUAGAGAGUGCAUGUAUUUGGGGACUGAAACUUUUGCAACCGGAGCAAGAAUUUGGCAAAUGAGAGCUAAGGAUUGUUGUCUUGACAAGGAGCCCGAA